GUUUGUGACCUUCAGGAACAGAAGUGUUGGUCACUGAGGGGCAAGAUGUCCUCAGCAGCAGUUUCUGCUCCUUUCCUUGCUAGGGUGACUGACGGGAAAGAAGGGGCUCCGUGGGACCAGGAUGCCUAGAGCCGGGGAAGCGUUUGGCAGAGUCGCCUGCAUGACCCUGCGGAUAAUAUAAGAGCCUCACUAGUGAAUUCAGAAAUGGCGGGAUAGCAGAGCCCAAAGAGCCAUCAACAAAUGGAUCAACCUGUAAAGUCUCCUCUGAGCCUCAUCCGCAGGAACUACACAGUGACUGACAUCAUCAAGAUGGGGCUGGCUGCCAUGGCCCUCACUGCCUUGGGGGCUCUGCUGGCAGAGGACUGGUACAGCCAGAACCGGACCAAGAAGGGUUCGGGCGGGACUCUCAACAAGAAGCUGCCCAGGGGCAAGAAGAAGGUAUAAUUUGGUUCAGCCUCACUGGGAAGUCUGGAGCGGGGGGCAGGCAGGGAGGGGAGACUUCCCCAGCCCUGACGGGGUCCCCCGCCCUCUGUAACCCUCUGUACCUCCUCCCUGUGUGAGCCAUAAACUUUCUCGGAGC